rnacentral:rRNA from 1 species
GAUGAACGCUGGCGGCGUGCCUAAUACAUGCAAGUCGAGCGAACAGACGAGGAGCUUGCUCCUCUGACGUUAGCGGCGGACGGGUGAGUAACACGUGGAUAACCUACCUAUAAGACUGGGAUAACUUCGGGAAACCGGAGCUAAUACCGGAUAAUAUAUUGAACCGCAUGGUUCAAUAGUGAAAGACGGUUUUGCUGUCACUUAUAGAUGGAUCCGCGCCGCAUUAGCUAGUUGGUAAGGUAACGGCUUACCAAGGCAACGAUGCGUAGCCGACCUGAGAGGGUGAUCGGACACACUGGAACUGAGACACGGUCCAGACUCCUACGGGAGGCAGCAGUAGGGAAUCUUCCGCAAUGGGCGAAAGCCUGACGGAGCAACGCCGCGUGAGUGAUGAAGGUCUUCGGAUCGUAAAACUCUGUUAUUAGGGAAGAACAAAUGUGUAAGUAACUAUGAACGUCUGGACGGUACCUAAUCAGAAAGCCACGGCUAACUACGU